UCCUUUUGCUUUCCUGGUCCAAAGUAUUUGCCCUUUUUCUCAGAAUACCAACAACCAAACUCUUUUUUUUUUUUUUUUCAAUUUCUUUUUCCCUCGCCUCGCUAUAUAUAAUUUACCAACAGGAAAUUGAGUGAGAAAAGAAAAGAACAGGAAAAUAGGUUACAGCCUCUUUUACGAAUAAAAAAUAAACUUAAAAUACGAAAGAAUUCCUCGUUUUUUCAACGGCUUGCUGUGUUCAUCGCUCUGCUUACGGGCAAUGCGAUUCUAGGGUUUUUCUCACUGGGUUUAAACGCGUCCCGGAGUUUUAUUGCAGCUCUUGUUUUCAGUAAUGGCCGCGAUAUAGAUUGUUGAAUAAUUGAGAAAACAGGGAUGGGUUCCUCUGACAUUUGGCUUCAGUUGGUGAACCCGUGCAGGGAGGCUGCUACGGAGCAGCGUCCAUGC